rnacentral:misc_RNA from 1 species
AGCAGCCGCGGUAAUUCCAGCUCCAAUAGCGUAUAUUAAAGUUGUUGCAGUUAAAAGCUCGUAGUUGAAUUUCGGGAUCAAUACGUCGGUCGUGCUUAGGUACGUACUGGCGUAAUUGAUUUCUCCCUUCUGACGAACCAUGAUGUCAUUAACUUGGUGUCAUGGGAAAUCAGGACUGUUACUUUGAAAAAUUGAGUGUUUAAAGCAGGCUCACGCUUGAAUACAUUAGCAUGGAAUAAUGAAAUAGGACGUUCGAUCCUAUUUUGUGGU